UUGGUGUGAACUGCAGAAUACCGUGAACCAUCGAGUCUUUGAACGCAAGUUGCGCCCGAAGCCAUCCGGCCGAGGGCACGUCUGCCUGGGUGUCACGCAACAUGUCGCCCCUACAGCCCUGCCCCAUCCCACCCCGGGCUUGCGGCAGCGGCAGGGAGCGGACGCUGGCCUCCCGUCGCGCACRGCUGCGGCUGGCCUAAAAACGAGCGAUGGAGCGACGGACUCCGCGACGCACGGUGGUGGUAGAUUCGCCCCUCGGGCAACAGUCCGGACCGUCCCUCCCUCGGCGCUCGGCGGCCUUCCAUCAAACACAUGCGACCCCAGGUCAGGCGGGGCCACCCGCUGAGUUUAAGCAUAUCAAUAAGCGGAGGAAAAGAAACUAACAAGGAUUCCCCUAGUAACGGCGAGCGAACCGGGAAAUGCCCACCAUGAAAAUCGAGCGCCCCCGGCGCUCGAAUUGUAGUCUGGAGAAGCGUCAA
rnacentral:rRNA from 1 species